UACGAAGGGGGCUAGCGUUGCUCGGAAUUACUGGGCGUAAAGGGUGCGUAGGUGGCCUGUUAAGUCAGGGGUGAAAGACGGUAGCUUAACUAUCGCAGUGCCCUUGAUACUGAUGGGCUUGAAUGAACUAGAGGUAGGCGGAAUGUGACAAGUAGCGGUGAAAUGCAUAGAUAUGUCACAGAACACCAAUUGCGAAGGCAGCUUACUAUGGUUUUAUUGACACUGAGGCACGAAAGCGUGGGGAUCAAACAGG
rnacentral:rRNA from 1 species